rnacentral:lncRNA from 1 species
GCUCACCCCAUCCAGGCAUUUUCUCGGGGAGACCCUCAGUCAUCCUAGGCAUGGAAACCCAGGAGCACCACGGCCCUGUGCUGGGGCCUCGUCUCGUGGACAGGAAGAAAGCGGGAACAAGGUCGCCUCGCUGGACCUCCCCUGUCUGCGAGAGACUGUGGACUGCGAGGGACUUGAGUAUUGAUUUGGGGAUUUCAGAUAAAAUCUAAACAAGCAGGUGAAUUCAUCACGGAGACUCCUGAAGGACGGCUCCGCUGGGUGUGACUCUCUCCGCUCAUUCUCUGAGAGCUGCGGUCAGGAUUGGGAGUUGUUGACACAACUAACUGGAUUUCCUGAGUGUGCAGAGGUGCUCUGGGGGGCAGGAGGGAUCCACUCCAAGUUCCAGACCUUCCCCAGCCUGUGCCAGGGCGAAUGGAGAGAAUGCAGCGGGGUGCGCCUGCGCCCGGGGGUGCGGACACAUGGAAGAUUGCAAGUCCAAGGGCAGCCAGGACCACAAAGUGAGACCCUGCCUUGAUGUUUAAAAAGUAAAAAGAAGUGGGAAUGGAGCUCAGUGACAGAGCUCAGGGACAGGUCCCCUGAGUCAUGUCCUGCCUCGCAUGCAUAAGACCUGGGUUCCGUCCCUGGUGCUGCAGAUGACAACGGCAAAACACCGCGUGGCUUUGGUUCUUCCCCCUAAGACCCAGUGGCUGUGCUGUGUUCCAGUCUCUGCUGGUCCCUGAGGACUCAGAGGUGGAGGAGACCCUUCCCCCUCAUGACCUCGCACAGAGACAAGCCCACUAAAGAGGGCUGUGUGGAAAGGACUGUCAUCAUAUAAAUGAAGCACUGCGGAACUUCUGCCCUGCUGCUGACUUGCUCAGAAGCCCAUACUUUCUUGGGUGGUGACAUCCACCCAAGUGUGUGCAGACCUACUUAUUUGGCAAAUAUGUACUGAGUGUCUUCAGUGUCCUGGGGACUAGCCUGGGGACUGGAGACUAAAUAAAGAUCAAAAUGGACUGGACACAGUGGAUCACACCUGUCCUCCCAGAGGCUUGGGAACCUGAGGCAGGAGGGUCGUGAGUUCAAAGCCAGCCUCAGCAACUCAGCGAGGUGCUAAGCAACUCAGUGAGACCCUAUUUCAAAAUAAAAUA